AUACGUAGGGGGCAAGCGUUGUCCGGAUUUAUUGGGCGUAAAGAGCGUGUAGGCGGCCGCACAGGUCCGUUGUGAAAACUGGAGGCUUAACCUUCAGACGUCGAUGGAAACCGUGCGGCUAGAGUCCGGAAGAGGAGAAUGGAAUUCCUGGUGUAGCGGUGAAAUGCGCGGAUAUCAGGAAGAACACCCGUGGCUAAGGCGGUUCUCUAGUACGGUACUGACGCUGAGACGCGAAAGCGUGGGGAGCGAACAGGAUUAGAUCCCCUGGUAGCCCACGCCGUAAACGAUGGGGGCUAGGUGUGGGGGGUGUCGACUCCCCCCGUGCCGAAGCUAACGCAUUAAGCACCCCGCCUGGGGAGUACGGCCGCAAGGCUAAAACUCAAAUGAAUUGACGGGG
rnacentral:rRNA from 1 species